rnacentral:tRNA from 1 species
GCGCCUAUAGCUUAAUGGAUAGAGUAGCGGCUUGCGGAGCCGUUGAUCCCAGUUCGACUCUGGGUAGGCGCACCA